UACGUAGGGGGCAAGCGUUGUCCGGAUUUAUUGGGCGUAAAGAGCGUGUAGGCGGCCUGACAAGUCUGCUGUGAAAACUCGAGGCUCAACCUCGAGAUGUCGGCGGAAACUGUCUGGCUAGAGUCCGGAAGAGGAGAGUGGAAUUCCUGGUGUAGCGGUGAAAUGCGCAGAUAUCAGGAGGAACACCGGUGGCGAAGGCGGGUCUCUGGGCCGAUACUGACACUGAGAAGCGAAAGCGUGGGGAGCGAACAGG
rnacentral:rRNA from 1 species